UAACGUAGACGAAAGUUACGCUAAUACCCGCAUAUUCUGUGAGCAGGAAAGCAGGGGAUCGCAAGACCUUGCGCUGAUUGAGCGGCCGAUAUCAGAUUAGCUAGUUGGUGAGGUAAAGGCUCACCAAGGCGACGAUCUGUAGCGGGUCUGAGAGGAUGAUCCGCCACACUGGAACUGAGACACGGUCCAGACUCCUACGGGAGGCAGCAGUGGGGAAUUUUGGGACAAUGGGCGCAAGCCUGAUCCAGCCAUGCCGCGUGAGUGAAGAAGGCCUUCGGGUUGUAAAGCUCUUUCGGCCGGGAAGAAAUCGCACAGGUUAAUACCCUGUGUGGAUGACGGUACCGGAAUAAGAAGCACCGGCUAACUACGUG
rnacentral:rRNA from 1 species